rnacentral:rRNA from 1 species
CCUACGGGAGGCUGCAGUGAGGAAUAUUGGUCAAUGGGCGCAAGCCUGAACCAGCCAAGUAGCGUGCAGGAUGACUGCCCUCCGGGUUGUAAACUUCUUUUAUAAGGGAAUAAAGUGAGGCACGUGUGCCUUUUUGUAUAUACUUUAUGAAUAAGGAUCGGCUAACUCCGUGCCAGCAGCCGCGGUAAUACGGAGGAUCCGCGCGUUAUCCGGGUUUAUUGGGUUUAAAGGGAGCGUAGGCGGGUUGUUAAGUCAGUUGUGAAAGUUUGCGGCUCAACCGUAGAAUUGCAGUUGAGACUGGCAGCCUUGAGUACAGUAGAGGUAGGCGGAAUUCGUGGUGUAGCGGUGAAAUGCUUAGAUAUCACGAAGAACUCCGAUUGCGAAGGCAGCCUGCUGGACUGUAACUGACGCUGAUGCUCGAAAGUGUGGGUAUCAAACAGGAUUAGAUACCCUGGUAGUC